UGUCUGAGGUAAUUUUCGACAUAAAUUCGUACAAUGUGUAAAUACGACGGUGAAUUUAGUUCACAAGAUUAUUUUAGACACAAUGUGAUUAAUAAUUUAGAUAUCAGUAUAGUAUUGCUACAGUUAAACGAUAAACUAUGUGUACACGUACUUGCGUUAUAUUACAUUCAAGUAGGUUAACGUUAAUUCCACACGAAAUACUAGAAGCUUUGCACAAUGGGAGCCGUUUUUUUGUAGUAGAGAUAUAUCGUGAGCUAGAGUAUAUGUGUACUUGUUUUAACAUUCAUUAUUAAGUUUAGCGUUUGUUGGCAUUAAGGUUAGCAUUUGUUUACACGGUUGUUUCGUGGGCUCGAGCGUCCACGCAGGCUUCGAGCUUUCACGAUUUACAAGAAACAUUAACUGUUUAUUUGUUAGACACCCACAGUUUUGCUUGAGCGUGUCUUGAGUCUUAUAAGCAAAAUAUACUUGUUUUUACUUUGUACUCCUGAUACUGGAUACCAUUACAUGCUGCUAUAGCAAUUCUAAAGAUGUGCUUAUUUGUGUUUUCUCGUAUUUCCUUGUCCAUACUUUGCUUUCACAUAAUUUGUGCUGUGUAGACACAUUUGUAACACGUCAUUUUUUACUUGCAUUGCAUUUUAAGCAAGUAAUGUCUAUUGUCUUUUUUUUUGCUGUUCUACAGACAGGUCAACGCUACAGCUGUCAGCCAACAUCCAGUUUGUGCUGCUGCACAAGAAGACCCACUUCUAUUGCUUAAAUAUUCAAACGAACCCAAAGGCUCUUUUAAGAGCCAUCCACAUUGAGAACAUCUAUUGGACGUCUUAUUCAUUAUUACGUACAACAACGCUGAAAACGUACAACAACGCUGAAAACGUACAACAACGCUGAAAACGUACAAAAACGCUUCUUGUGAUUCUGAAAAACGCUUCUUGUGAUUCUGAAAAACGCUUCUUGUGAUUCUGAAAAACGCUUCUUGUGAUUCUGAAAACCCCCUUCCUGUGAACCUGAAAACCCCCUUCCUGUGAACCUGAAAAUCUUCUUCUUGUGAACCUGAAAAUCUUCUUCCUGUCAGCCUUACUGCCAAACCCAAGUGAACAUUGACACCAGUGAACUACAACUACUACAAGAGAAAAGGAGCUCCAAGACAUCUCUUCCAGUACACCUUGCUGCCUGUUGUCUUCAAAAAGGACCACUGAUUCAAGCUCAGCUUUUAAAGCCUACUGUUUAACGUUACAUUAGUUAAAUUUUUGUGGUAGUGUUUAUCAUACAGGUAUAUUUUAUUUAAAUAGAUUUUAUAAGCUAUAUACAAUUAAAUAGUCUUUCUGUUAGUCUUGUUAAUUACAUUUUGAUAAAAAAAAAAAUUCUGUACAGUAGACGUUAAAGUACAUUUGGGUGACAUUUUAUUUAUUAUAAACAUUACAUUCGUGUUACUUAUUAAAUUAGUCUGAAUUAUUAAAUCUGUGUGAAGUAUUACAUAAGUUUGAGUUAAUACACCUGUGUUAAGUAUAACAUUAGUAGUGAGUUAUUUAAUCUGUGCUAUUUUUACAUUAGUCUGAGUUAUAACAUCUGUGUUACAUUAGUCUUAGUUGUUGCACCUGUUUUAAGUAUUACAUUAGACUUGAGUAUUUAAAUCUGUGUUAGUAUUACAUAGGUUUGAGUUAUUACACCUGUGUUAAGUUUUUCAUUAGUCUUGAGUUAUUUAAUCUGUGCUAAUAUUACAUUAGUCUGAGUUAUAACAUCUGUGUUACAUUAGUCUUAGUUGUUACACCUGUUUUUAGUAUUACAUUAGUCUUGAGUUAUUAAUUCUGUGUUAAGUAUUACAUUAGUCUGAGUAAUAACAUCUGUUUUACAUUAAUCUGUGUUAUUACAUCUGUGUUAAAUAUUACAUUAGUCUCAGUUAUUAAAUCUGUGCUAGUAUUAGAUUUAUAGCAUUCGUGUUUACAGUUACAUAAGUAAUCUUUUCACAUACUUGUGUGUCAUAUAUUUGAGUUCCUUGAGUAAUUGAUUGCAUAAUAGACAUUACCUGUGGCUGUAAGUUCAUAUAUUUCAAAAUUGAUCUGUGUUUAAGCUUUACUUCUGCUCAACCUAAGUUGCCUUGUAUAUCUCAUAAGCUUACUGUGUAGUUGAUUAUU